rnacentral:rRNA from 1 species
GGGGAAUAUUGGACAAUGGGCGGAAGCCUGAUCCAGCCAUGCCGCGUGUGUGAAGAAGGCCUUUUGGUUGUAAAGCACUUUAAGCGAGGAGGAGGCUCCUGUAGAUAAUACCUACAGUGAGUGGACGUUACUCGCAGAAUAAGCACCGGCUAACUCUGUGCCAGCAGCCGCGGUAAUACAGAGGGUGCGAGCGUUAAUCGGAUUUACUGGGCGUAAAGCGUGCGUAGGCGGCUGAUUAAGUCGGAUGUGAAAUCCCUGAGUUUAACUUAGGAAUUGCAUUCGAUACUGGUCAGCUAGAGUAUGGGAGAGGAUGGUAGAAUUCCAGGUGUAGCGGUGAAAUGCGUAGAGAUCUGGAGGAAUACCGAUGGCGAAGGCAGCCAUCUGGCCUAAUACUGACGCUGAGGUACGAAAGCAUGGAGAGCAAAC